rnacentral:rRNA from 1 species
UACGAAGGGUGCAAACGUUGCUCGGAAUCAUUGGGCGUAAAGCGCACGUAGGCGGCCUCAUAAGUCGGAUGUGAAAUCCCUCGGCUCAACCGAGGACGUGCAUCCGAAACUGUGAAGCUCGAGUAUGGAAGAGGGUCGCGGAAUUCCCGGUGUAGAGGUGAAAUUCGUAGAUAUCGGGAGGAACACCAGUGGCGAAGGCGGCACCCUGGACCAGCACUGACACUGAGGCACGAAAGCGUGGGGAGCAAACAGG